AUUGAACGCUGGCGGCAGGCUUAACACAUGCAAGUCGAGCGGGGAAGGUUGCUUCGGUAACUGACCUAGCGGCGGACGGGUGAGUAAUGCUUAGGAAUCUGCCUAUUAGUGGGGGACAACAUUCCGAAAGGGAUGCUAAUACCGCAUACGUCCUACGGGAGAAAGCAGGGGAUCAUUUGACCUUGCGCUAAUAGAUGAGCCUAAGUCGGAUUAGCUAGUUGGUGGGGUAAAGGCCUACCAAGGCGACGAUCUGUAGCGGGUCUGAGAGGAUGAUCCGCCACACUGGGACUGAGACACGGCCCAGACUCCUACGGGAGGCAGCAGUGGGGAAUAUUGGACAAUGGGGGGAACCCUGAUCCAGCCAUGCCGCGUGUGUGAAGAAGGCCUUUUGGUUGUAAAGCACUUUAAGCGAGGAGGAGGCUCUCUUGGUUAAUACCUGAGAAGAGUGGACGUUACUCGCAGAAUAAGCACCGGCUAACUCUGUGCCAGCAGCCGCGGUAA
rnacentral:rRNA from 1 species